GACGAACGCUGGCGGCGUGCUUAACACAUGCAAGUCGAACGGAAAGGCCCUGCUUUUGUGGGGUGCUCGAGUGGCGAACGGGUGAGUAACACGUGAGUAACCUGCCCUUGACUUUGGGAUAACUUCAGGAAACUGGGGCUAAUAUCGGAUAGGAGCUCCUGCUGCAUGGUGGGGGUUGGAACGUUUCGGCGGUUGGGGAUGGACUCGCGGCUUAUCAGCUUGUUGGUGGGGUAGUGGCUGACCAAGGCUGUGACGGGUAGCCGGCCUGAGAGGGUGAACGGCCACCUGGGUCCUGAGAUACGGCCCAGUCUCCUACGGGAGGCAGCAGUGGGGAAUAUUGCACAAUGGGCGGAAGCCUGAUGCAGCAACGCCGCGUGCGGGAUGACGGCCUUCGGGUUGUAAACCGCUUUCGCCUGUGACGAAGCGUGAGUGACGGUAAUGGGUAAAGAAGCACCGGCUAACUACGUG
rnacentral:rRNA from 1 species